GAUGAACGCUGGCGGCGUGCCUAAUACAUGCAAGUCGAGCGAACGGACGAGAAGCUUGCUUCUCUGAUGUUAGCGGCGGACGGGUGAGUAACACGUGGAUAACCUACCUAUAAGACUGGGAUAACUUCGGGAAACCGGAGCUAAUACCGGAUAAUAUUUUGAACCGCAUGGUUCAAAAGUGAAAGACGGUCUUGCUGUCACUUAUAGAUGGAUCCGCGCUGCAUUAGCUAGUUGGUAAGGUAAUGGCUUACCAAGGCAACGAUGCAUAGCCGACCUGAGAGGGUGAUCGGCCACACGGGAACUGAGACGCGGUCCAGACUCCUACGGGAGGCAGCAGUAGGGAAUCUUCCGCAAUGGGCGAGAGCCUGACGGAGCAACGCCGCGUGAGUGAUGACGGUCCUCGGAUCGUAAAGCUCUGUUAUUAGGGGAGAACAUAUGUGUAAGUAACUGUGCACAUCUUGACGGUACCUAAUCAGAAAGCCACGGCUAACUACGUG
rnacentral:rRNA from 1 species